UGAGGCGUCUGACAAAAUAUGGGACGUGCAAGGUGCGCACCGCCAGCACCCGCUAUGAACAUCUGCAAGAGAUUCCCCACCAGUCCCUAGGGUAAAGACAGUCGACAUUGACAGACAAUACACCUGCAGAAUGCCGUCACAGAAAUAUGACACGCAACAUUCAGUCAGUAAUGACAGGAAAUAUUCCUCGAUGGUGGCCGAUUUUAUCUCGUACCACUGAUAUCCGAGGCAGGUGACUAGUUCAGACAAGCAUUGAUCAAACACCUACUAGCUGACGUGAUCAAGGCGCAGGCAGAACGCAACGACACUGAGAGUCACGUGAUCGUUUUGCUACAACUUGUGGGUAAACAAUGCCUUGUUGGUUCAAAUAUUCUUACUGAAAUUUACAACUAAGAGCGUGCACCUCUUAUCGGCCGAAGGGACGUUGUUAGAGGCAUACCGGCCCGAGGAUUCCGGCCGUGGAGUCAUUGAUGUGAUCAUCCUGUAGAAUCUAUACGGCAUGGAUUGGGAAGGUAGAAUGCAAGACGUGUAUUCUGGCACCGACCGACCAGCUCGCAUGAACUUCUUGCAUACUCCGAUCACCCAGCCCCCCGGGACAGACUACGGUUAUCUGACACCCACGGCACCUGGGGCAACAUGGGACGGGAGCUACGCCAACGCUGGUUUCGGAUUAGACGACCCUUUUCAUGAAGACCCUGACUAUGAUUCAUCUGACGAGAGUGAGGUGGAGGACCCCGAACAACACGGGACUAACCCCAAGGUGGUCAUUUCCGAACCUGAGACCACCGGUGAACCACCUGAGACCACCGGUGAACCAUUAGAGAAGCCACCACGGAAACCAAAAUGGGACAUUUUCAAGGAAUCAUCCGGCGACAGUGUCAGUUUUUCGGAGACACAGAAAUGGAACUUGUCCUAUAAAUUUCUACGAGUCCUUUUAUGCUGUGCCUUCUUCCUGUUUUGCUUGGGCUCAGCAACAAUGUCCAAAUUAACUUUCCUGUUCUUAACGUUUUACAUCAACCCUACAGAGAAGUUCUAUUUGAAUUACGUGGUCAAUGGCACAAGUAAACGUGUCAACAUGAAGACAGACGCCUACCACAUGGAUGCAAAAUGGAUAUGGUCUCUCAUCAUCAUCAUCUGUGCUCCAUACUUCUUCACAGCGUUAUCAAGUGUCUGGAAAAUAUUCUUUAAAAAAACAGGAAAAAUGAAAGUGCUACCUCUGGUGGUGGCCUUCCUGAUUGAGACGCUACACACUAUCGGACUCGUCAUGUUGGUCUUCUACAUCAUACCAAGCUUCGAACCUCUGAUCGGGUGCUUGCUGAUGCUCAACGUGGCUGUCAUCCCAGGACUGCUGAAGAUCUUUGAGGUCACCGACCUCAACAACGACGCAAACAGCGAAGUCAAAGCAUACAAGGAGGAUGGGAAUGCUCGGAUAUGUGUUCGGAAAAUGUUCGACAUCUUCAUGGUUACGUUGCAGGUUGCUGCAGUAGCCGUGUGGUCGUACCUGGCCUACACGGUCAAAGAAUCCCUUUUGCUGUCAAUACUUAUUCCGGUUUCGCUUGUCCUUGUGUCCAUCUCGUGGUGGGACAACUAUGUCCACUCAAAGAAGACGAGUAGUAGCGAUGAUUCAAAAGGCAACUGCUUGGCGCGGAUAAAGAGAUCUAUCAAAAAGAGGGGCUCCAAAAUUUAUUUCCUCACUUCAAUCUGGAAAAUAGUUUUGACAAUCGCCCUUCCUGCUGUGAUUUUCUCCUGGAACAGUAAGCAAUGUCUCAGAGCAUUCUUUAUCCUGGAACCAGCAGCAAGGAAUUGCUCGGUGUUUCAGAAAAUCACCAUCACCGACACUGCCCAGGCAGGGGCACCGUCUACGGCGACAAGCUGCCACCCAUACCUACCUUUCUUUGUUGCUACAAUCAAUAUCGUAUCUAGCAUCGUGUGUUACAAGAUCGGCAAGUCGGCCUGCAAGAUUCUCGCUCAAGUAUGGUGCUUCGCGAUACCCCUUCUUCUCUCAAUACCAGUUACAUGUGCUAUCAUCAUCAGCACCUACACAUUCAAUGAUGGGAUCAGUGACUUUUUAGGAUGCAAAGCACCUUGGAUACCGGAUGUGAAGAAUCUCGACCUCUUUGACUUCAUGGUACAGUACAUUGAAACCUAUUGGCUUCCUGUUGGGAUGGCUUCGUUCGUCUCCCUCAUCUAUAUUGCAGGACACAUCUUCACACCUCGCUGCACCAGGAUGGCAAGCACAGAGAAACUGUUCCUGAAGCCUCUGUUCUGUGGAGUUCUGUUGGAGGAGUCCAUUAUGCUCAACAGACGUAAGGAUGAUGAAAACCUUCAGGAAUAUAUGAUGAAUGGCGCGUUUAUAGCUUUGGGAGAGUCGAGAGAGCCCGCUGGGGGAAUAGAAGAGGAAGAGAAAGAGGUCAACGCAAUGGUUGAUCCAAAUGAGACAAAGAAAAGAAUGCGAAAAGACACCACACCCAUGAUAUACAUCUGUGCAACGAUGUGGCAUGAGACUGAGAACGAAAUGAUUCAAGUUCUCAAAUCAAUAUUCAGAUUGGACAUGGACCAAUCUGCGCGCCGUACUGCCCAAAUGUUCUUUGAAAUUGAAGAUCCUGAUUACUAUGAAUUUGAAGCUCAUAUCUUCUUCGACGACGCGUUUGGCCCGCACUUACAGGACGAGUACGAGUAUAAGGCUAACGACUUCGUUAAGCAGCUUGUGAGAGUCAUCAACGUUGCCGCAAGUGCUGUACACGACACCGUGAUGAGGAUACCUGCCCCCAGACGUAUCCCCACCCCAUACGGAGGUCGUCUGGUGUGGUCACUACCCGGAGGAAACACCAUCACCGCUCACCUCAAGGAUAAAGUGAAAAUUCGGCACAGAAAGAGAUGGAGUCAGGUGAUGUACAUGUACUACUUUCUGGGCUACCAGCUUCUGAAGGAGAAGAUGUCACUGAAACGUAAGAAAGUCCGCGCAGAGAACACGUUUCUCCUGGCCUUGGAUGGAGAUGUGGACUUCCAGCCUGAUGCGCUGCAGAUCCUGGUGGACAGGAUGAGGAAGAGCACCAGCCUUGGGGCCGCCUGUGGCAGGAUCCACCCCAUCGGCAACGGUCCCAUGGUGUGGUACCAGAAGUUUGAGUACGCCAUCAGUCACUGGCUACAGAAGUCCACCGAGCACAUGUUGGGGUGCGUUUUGUGCAGUCCCGGAUGCUUCAGUUUAUUCCGGGGAUCUGCUCUCAUGGAUGACAACAUCAUGAGGAGAUAUACAACCCCGCCCACGGAACCCCGGCACUAUGUUCAAUAUGAUCAAGGAGAGGACCGCUGGCUGUGCACCCUCCUCUUGCAAAGAGGCUACAGAGUAGAAUACUGUGCUGCCUCAGACUCAUUCACGUUUGCUCCGGAAGGCUUCUUCGAGUUCUUCAACCAGCGGCGGCGCUGGACGCCUUCCACUAUGGCCAACAUUCUGGACCUGGUGAUGGACUGGAAGAAAACAUCCAAGAACAACCAGGACAUCUCCAUCAUGUUUAUGCUGUAUCAGAUGUUCCUCUUCACGUUCUCAGUCAUCACUCCAGGCACCAUCUUCAUGCUCAUAGUCGGGGCAUUGACAACUGCCUACCCCGCCAUACCCUUGUAUGGUUCGUUCGUCAUCAACUUGAUACCAAUCAUCAUUUUUGUGCUCCUGUGUUUCAAAACAAGCACCGACGUACAGCUGUCAUUCGCUUCUCUGGUGUCGAUUGUCUACAGUCUUCUGAUGAUGGUGGUGUUGGUAGGAAUCCUGCAGCAGGUUGCAAGAAGUGGAUUCUGUUCUGUGUCCACAGUCUUCUUGACCGGGGUCGCGGGAAUCUAUGUGUCGUCGGCUUUCCUUCACCCCCAGGAGUUCUGGUGUAUUAUACAUGGGGGGCUAUACUUCCUCUCCAUACCAGCGAUGUCAGUGUUAAUGAUGAUAUUCUCUCUCGGGAAUCUUCAGAACGUAUCCUGGGGAACUCGUGAAGUGAAAACUGCAGCUCCUCCGCUCCCAACUCAGCAACAACAGCAGCAACAAAAGCAAAAUCAAGCCAGUCAGGAUAAAAGGAAUAUGGUGCAGCAGUGGCUUGGGAAGAUAAGUGAAGGGGUAUCUGGUGAUUCAGAUUACAACUUCUCCUUUGGUAACUUGUUCAGAUGUGUCUGUUGCCCAUCUAACCAAGGGGUGAAAAAUGAAGACCUCAAGUUCAAGGCCAUCCUGCAACGUUUGGAGGAACUCGACGAACGCAUGACUGAAAUGACCCGAAGUGGUGUUGAUUCUCUCGAUUCUUUCAACAAUACCCGUACUCCUGAAGCUACACCCUUCUCUGAUAUUGCUGGUCAGUUUGAAGGAGCUGUGGACAGAGCCAAUCCAGUAUUCAAAGAGGAAAAGACGAUGGUCAGAGAUGAGCUGACAGAGCCCUACUGGAUUGAGGAUGAAGAUAUUGCAGGAGGCCAAAAGGAGCUGGUGAGCAGUCAAGAGGUAGAUUUCUGGAAUGGACUUAUCGGGAAGUACCUCUUCCCACUGGACAGAGAUGAAAAGCAUGAGAAGAAAAUGCAACAAGACCUUUUAGAAUUGAGGAACACCGUGUGCCUUGCCUUUCUCCUCAUCAAUGCCCUCUUCGUUAUCCUUCUAUUUGCUUUGGAGUCAGUAUCUGAGUACACUCCACAGCUGAAGGUAAAACUACCGUGUGGGAAUGAUGAUGUGAUUCCCGAGGAUAUUCAGCCAAUAUCAGUUGCAUUUACUCUCGUGUUCGGGAUUAUGCUUUCUAUACAAUAUAUAGCAAUGCUGUUCCACAGAUAUUCUACGUUCUUACACAUCGCUGCUAUAACUAGGAUUGAUUUAUUCAGAGGCAAACUGAGAAGCAAGAAGCAAGAAGACAGGAGGCCCACUGUCGAGGAGACUAUUGCCCUUGUCCGGGAAAUGCAGCAGAUGAGGGAAGAUGAUGACACAAUGUCCACUGUGAGUGCCACCGAACUAGCCCCUGAUUACCCCGAUGAUGAGGAAGAGGGUUCUGGGAAUCCAAACAAAGGUAAGGAUCUGUGGAACAAGAUGAGAGCACGCACAAAGGAACCUAAAGCUCACCACACACUGAGCAGAAAUUUCAUGAAGAACUUUCAGAAACUGGCUAAAAACAUGACGGAGGACAAACAACAUGAGUCCAAAGAGAAAGCUGAGGAGGAGAUCGGUAAAAAAUUUAAAGGUUUUGAACGCAAAUCUCUAUUCACUAUCGUCAAAAUGGCCCAGUCAAAUGAAGCCUUUAAACAAAAAGUUAUCAAGAAGAAUGACAGGUGGCAAGGCGUUGUACAAAAACUUAAUAUUAACAAACAAAUUAAAAGCAAGAAACCAAUGACUCUUGCUGAUAUUGUGAAAGCUGCUCAGCAGAAGAGGAGAGAAGAGCAAGGACUAGCACCUCAACCAUCCAGCUCACAGGCCACAAGAUCUGCAUUUGGGGAAGCAAAAACUCAGACCAACCAAGGUCCUGUGGCAAGCAGCCCAAAGCCAAAACUUAAAUCAUUUGCCAUGCGGGCACUUGCAGCUACAAAGAAGGAUGAAUCGCAUCCAGCAUCUGACGGCCAAUCAUCUCUCCGUCAAAUUAUUCGGCAGAGUCGACAAACCCGACAGCGAUCAAUGGAGCCGGACACGGAAAUGACGUUACAGACUCCGCCGCCAGCACCUGGUGAUGAGUGGCCGCCGGAAGUUGAAUAUGCUGCCAGGUCCCGAGGCUCCUCACCCCAUAGAGGAAUACAUGGGGCUGACACUCUCUUUUAAAGCACUAUUUCAUCGAUCACAAUCUCCGAGUUUCUAACAAGCAACGGAGGGCUAACUUUCAAGACUUUCCAAUAAAACCCCGGGUUAUUCAACAGUCCGAAGCAGCCAUGCCGGGAUGACUUUUAGAGAGAAUACGGUGGUUUUCAUGUGUACUAUAGUUAAAUUAAAAACGGCACACACGAUUGUUGCCGGUCGUCAUCACUCGGAAUCUGCACCAAUGCUCCCUAGCGACUUCACAAGGAUGCCAGUAGACUAACGCCCAGUCUCUGAAUAUAUAUAAUUUUGAUAGCAACAAAUAAUUCCAUUAAAAAUUGAAAAGGAGCCCCAGUGAGAUGGGUGAUUCGAAGAACCUGAGGAAAUGUAGACUUGCUUCGAGCUCGAGCAUAGGAAAAAGGGCUCUUCGAAAGGGAAAAAAAUGAGACAGACGAGGAAAUAAUGCUGUUGAGGGACUGUGAGACAGACGAGGAAAUAAUGCUGUGGAGGGACUGUGAGACAGACGAGGGAAAUAAUGCUGUUGAGGGACUGUGAGACAGACAGACGAGAAACGAGGAAAUAAUGCUGUUGAGGGACUGUGAGACAGACGAGGAAAUAAUGCUGUUGAGGGACUGUGAGACAGACGAG